ensembl:lncRNA
GAUUUAGAAACCUGGGGAGCUUGCUAACAUCUAAUUCCGGGCCCUACUGAUUACUGAAUCAGAGUCUCUUGAGAAUCUGUUUUUCGUUUUUGUUUUUUUUAAGUCCUCAGCCUUGGGAAAUACUGAUGCAAAUUACAGGCUCUUAAUCUGGAGUCUCUUACAGGUUUCGGGGGCUCUGUAGGGGUUGCUCUAAUUCCUAGCUGCAUAUGAGAAUCGUGGGGGGCUUAAAAAAAAAAAAAAUCCAGUGCCCAGGCCGCACCGCAGACCAAUUAAGUCAGAAUCUCUGGAGGUGAAACCCAAGCAUCGCUGUUCAAAAGAAAAUCCCAAGAGACUCCAGUGUGCAGCCAAAUUUAAGAAGCACUGCUGAAUGGAUAUUCUCAGGAGACAUUUGUUAUACCUGUGUUCUCUUCAGGGCUAAAUUUAGCUCCAGGCCCUCUGCCCUGGUGGUAAAGAAGGAGCCUCUCCUUCUAGGAAGGGGAUUGUAGUUAGGGCUGAGGUUCAGCAGGCUUUAACCCCCUUCAGCCUGACUCCUGGGCAUCUUCCACCCCCCAGGUUGCUUCCCCCAUUGACUUCCUUCUUGCCAGAUCCAGUGACCGGUUCUUAGCACGAGAUGUAGAGUCAGAAGGCCUAGGCAGGAUCUCCGUCACUCAUCAGCUGUGUGACGGGGACACAGCUUUGAUCCCUGGUCUGGGAAGAUCCCACAUGCUGUGGAGCCACUAAACCCAUUUGUCGUAACUACUGAGCCCACGUGCUGCGACUACUGAAGCCCGUGUCUCUAGAGACUGUGCUGCAUAACAA